CGGAUGUAGUCUGCAACCCGACUACAUGAAGCUGGAAUCGCUAGUAAUCGCGCAUCAGCCAUGGCGCGGUGAAUACGUUCCCGGGCCUUGUACACACCGCCCGUCAAGCCAUGAAAGCCGGGGGCGCCUGAAGUCCGUGACCGCGAGGGUCGGCCUAGGGUGAAACCGGUGAUUGGGGCUAAGUCGUAACAAGGUAAC
rnacentral:rRNA from 1 species